UACGUAGGUGGCAAGCGUUAUCCGGAUUUACUGGGUGUAAAGGGAGCGUAGACGGACUUGCAAGUCUGAUGUGAAAAUCCGGGGCCCAACCCCGGAACUGCAUUGGAAACUGUAUAUCUAGAGUGUCGGAGAGGCAAGUGGAAUUCCUGGUGUAGCGGUGAAAUGCGUAGAUAUCAGGAGGAACACCAGUGGCGAAGGCGGCUUGCUGGACGAUGACUGACGUUGAGGCUCGAAAGCGUGGGGAGCAAACAGG
rnacentral:rRNA from 1 species